ACUGACAGGUACGUCAAACUCUAUUCGUUCUUUCAUUUCCCGAACGUUGAGGCGAAGCACUCGGUUGAAGAGCUGGAAAAAUGGUCAACGGACGCAUACCGUCUGUCUUCUCGAAGACUUAUGUUACGCCACGUCGUCCUUAUGAAAAGGCGCGUUUGGAUCAAGAGUUGAAAAUCAUUGGCGAAUAUGGUUUGCGCAAUAAACGUGAGGUUUGGCGUGUAAAGUACGCAUUGGCCAAAAUCCGUAAGGCUGCUCGUGAAUUGCUGACCUUAGAGGAGAAAGACGAAAAGAGAUUGUUCCAAGGUAACGCUCUUCUACGUCGUUUGGUACGUAUUGGCGUAUUAGAUGAGUCUCGCAUGAAACUCGAUUACGUUCUGGGUCUGAAAAUUGAGGACUUCUUGGAGCGCCGCUUGCAAACUCAAGUCUUCAAAUUGGGGUUAGCCAAGUCAAUCCAUCAUGCUCGCGUCCUUAUCCGCCAGAGACAUAUUCGGUAAAUAUCAACGACAGUAUACACCUGUCUCUGUCACAGGACUUGAGAAUUUUAACAAAAUAUGUUCAGUAAGACCACUUGGGAGUCGGAACAGCAGUCUGUACCGGCUCUCAACGUCUUUUAAAAUGGGUUUUCGUUCUGUAUAAGAAUUUAUCAAACUUUACUACCCGUUCGUAGACAAGUGGUAAACAUCCCAUCAUUUGUUGUGCGCUUGGACUCGCAGAAGCACAUUGAUUUCUCAUUGAAAUCGCCAUUCGGUGGUGGCCGCCCAGGUCGCGUUAAGAGGAAGAACCUGAAGAAGAACCAAGGAGGUAGCGGUGGAGCUGCUGAAGAGGAAGAA